GAAGCCUCUCUGCUUUCCCACGAGACCUUACCGGCACCUGACCGGUCUUUCCUACACCCCACAAGGUCUCUCCAUCGCCCUACAAAGCCCCAGAGCUGUCCCACAAGGGUCUGGAGGCCUUCAGAGGUUACCACCAGCCAGCUCUGGGAGUUUGGGAUCACUAACUUUACCUUUCACUUCAGAGAGUUCAGACAUGGCCAGAGAGCCUGGGAGCUACAUGGAGGAGGUGGCACCAGGAGGACUCUCCUGAUCACACAUUCUUCCU